rnacentral:lncRNA from 1 species
UUCUUCCUUAGGGGCACAGAUGCUUUGUGCAGUUCAGUCUGCCCUCUGGGUAAUUAACUGCUCCAACUUCUCAGCCGACAGCACUGCCGGGAUGAGCGGGCGGCAGGAGCAGCGAGGAAGAUGUUGCAUGCUCAGCAGGGCGAUGAAGUUGUUUUGCAACACAGGCGUGUUCCAGGUGACUGCUGGGUCACUUUGGUCGGUGGGGUUGGAAGAGAGCCGUUGUCUGCUUCCUCGAUGAUCUACCAGCUCUUAUGUUUGCUGCACUGGUGAAAGGAAUGACCUCUCCCAGCUGCUUGUUGCUGUCCCGGCUGGAGGUGGCCACAGUCACUGCCCUCAGUCGAGCAGUGUUGGUGUGCUCAGCAGUUACCCUGUGCCCAGCCCAGGUCGUUUGGACAGGAGCUGGUGAGGGAGAAGCCACCUGGGCUGAACUGAGGAAGCAGCAGCUCCAGCAAGGGGAGAGGACAGCUGCAUCCAGAACGGGAGGUCUGACUCUCAGGUAUUUAUCUGAGGAUGUACUAUGACUGUGCUACUGCUGAACNNNNNNNNNNNNUGAACCCCCUUAACUUAUUUAACUGGAAAUUUUCCUUCUGAAUAGAAUAUAGUUUGGGCUUAGUGCACGAGCUAGCUAUUCACCAUAAAGUCACUACUUUCCUUGUCUCAACCAAAGCCCAAGGCUCCACAGUGCUGAAAAAAGAGGUGCUGGGAGGCUUCUACAUGAAUAUUUUUCGCUACCAUACUUCAGGUAUUGUCUGCUACAGUACUACCCCAGUAAGGACGAGGCAUUUGCAACUUUUUGUGGGAGGCAGGCAGACGAGAGCAAUGCGGUAUAUGUGCUCCUACCCUGCCUUGAGUUUUGCCUGUGACUGAGAUCUUGAUGUUGCCUCCCAUAUGAUUUUCCUGUAGUAACACACACACCUUGGCGCUCUCACUGUAACAAUGCCUGUUCUUGGCAGGGAAGGCAAAUUUGAAAGGAAGCUGUUGAGCACUCUGCUGUGAGAAUUCCUCAAAUGAUGGUUGUGUUUCUCCCCCUCAUUCCACCCGUUUCCAAAUAAUUUUCAUGCUGGGAAUAAAUCUGAGUGCAUAACAAUAAUGUUCA